rnacentral:rRNA from 1 species
AAAGGGAGCGUAGGCGGAUAGUUUAGUCAGAGGUGAAAGCCCAGGGCUCAACCUUGGAAUUGCCUUUGAUACUGGCUAUCUUGAGUACGGAAGAGGUAUGUGGAACUCCGAGUGUAGAGGUGAAAUUCGUAGAUAUUCGGAAGAACACCAGUGGCGAAGGCGACAUACUGGUCCGUUACUGACGCUGAGGCUCGAAAGCGUGGGGAGCAAACAGGAUUAGAUACCCGAGU